UCUUGGGUCAUUUAGAGGAAGUAAAAGUCGUAACAAGGUCUCCGUUGGUGAACCAGCGGAGGGAUCAUUACUGAGUACUACACUCUCUACCCUUUGUGAACUAUUAUACCUGUUGCUUCGGCGGCGCCCGCGAGGGUGCCCGCCGGUCUCAUCAGAAUCUCUGUUUUCGAACCCGACGAUACUUCUGAGUGUUCUUAGCGAACUGUCAAAACUUUUAACAACGGAUCUCUUGGCUCCAGCAUCGAUGAAGAACGCAGCGAAACGCGAUAUGUAAUGUGAAUUGCAGAAUUCAGUGAAUCAUCGAAUCUUUGAACGCACAUGGCGCCUUCCAGUAUCCUGGGAGGCAUGCCUGUCCGAGCGUCGUUUCAACCCUCGAGCCCCCGUGGCCCGGCGUUGGGGAUCUGCCACGGCAGGCCCCUAAAACCAGUGGCGGACCCGAAGGCCCUCUCCUUUGCGCAGUAGCAUCAGCCUCGCAUUGGGAUCCCUCGGCGUCCUGCCUCUAAACCCCCCACAAGUCCGCUCCGGCGGCACCAAGGUUGACCUCGGAUCAGGUAGGAAUACCCGCUGAACUUAAGCAUAUCAAUAA
rnacentral:rRNA from 1 species